CACUGCUUCAAGCCAUGACUCAGCAUUUCCACUACACUCCACCACUUUACAGCAUGAACUACUGACUGAGCAGGUUAAAGAUAUAUUUACAUGGCCAGACAUCUUCGUAGCUCAUAUGAAAGAGCAAGUGAGAGCAAAAAUGGCAGAGGGGAAGAGGAAAGGAGGGAAGGAAAGAAGAAGAGACUGAGAUAAAACAAAUGGAUGAGUGGACCAUUGGAAUUACCAACACUUCUCCCAGUAUUUCUUCUGUUCUCUCUUAACAACAGAUUCCACUUCCAUUUUUCUGUGUUGCCGUAUUUCUCAACUUCUUAUCCUUUUAUUUCGAAUGAACAUUUCAUCCAGUCUGUGAAGAACUGCUUCUAUUAAAGACAUAAACAGCCCUUGUAGCCUUUGAUGUAAAUCAGUGACUUUCAGUUAUGGUCUCCAUUGCAUGUUCAUUGAUAAGCUAGGUUUGUUCUUUCCCAUUGCUAGUCCUAAAAAGCCUACAGCAUGCACUAUUCUUCCUUUGGCUCCCUUCACUCCCUUACAGUCAUGUUUUGAGUGCUGCAGCACAGACAGUCCCACAGAACCAGCCAUAAAACCCCUGUACACUCUGUGCACCUUUGUUAGCCCAUGGGAACUCUGCUGAACUCCUGCAGUGUACCAUCAUCAUAGGGAGAUAAGAGAAACCACGCAUUGCUCAAAUCUCUCUGCUCAGUGACUCUCUGUUGUUUAUUUAAUGGUAUUUGUGUUAAUUUCAUUUGCUACCCGUUUGCUUGUGAGUGGCUACCACCUCCCCUUAGUAAAAUGGCAAAGAAUCAGUUGAGUCAACAGAAAAUUUAAUUUCAGAUACAACUGAAAAUUAAAAUACACUUUAAUAUACCCUAGAUUUAGAUUGGGAUGUAUACCUCAGGUUCAUGUCUAAAUUAAUGAAAUAAAUAAACAUGCAACAUCUUCUACUUUUUAAAAAAGAUGUUCCCCUGGCUAAUAUUUGAAACAGAGAAACCACUGAAUUUUUCAACUGAAAAGAAAAAUGGUUUAACUUGCACUGAACUGCUAAGAGAUCUCUACAAGCAGUCACACACACACAUACAGUAACUGUAGCUGCAGCAGCUUAUCAUUUACAAAAUGACAAAGUACCGGAUGUAUUUCAGAGACAAAUGCAGUGACUUUUGUUUUUAUUUUUUAAUUGCUUACUAUCUUCUGAUAUUGAUGCUGAAUUUCCACUUUAUACUCGGACUCUUCACAAUCCUAAGUGUCACGUGUGAUAGCCCUAGCUUCACAGUAUUCCCCUUAUCUAGUGAAAGUCAUCACACUAAAUAUAAAGACACGGGACUCGUACACUAAGCAGGUUUUCUUCUCUAAUUAAAAGCAGCAAUAUAAUAUCAAUAGAAUAAAAUUUAUUAUCUAGACCUCUAGACAUUUUUUGUAGAUAUUGAUCAGAUUUUGGAAGGUUGGGGUGGGUUAUAUCUAUUGAAGUUGUUCCAGGAAGAAGAAGGAGGCUGACAGGUAGGAAAGAGUUAUUUUAAAAUUGCACCAAUACUCUGUUUGUUUCCCAGUUAUCUGGGACUUAGCUGACGCUGAAAGAUCACGUCAGUGUUUUUGAAAUACGUUAAGAUAUAAUUUGGGAAAGAUCUUACAUUUUCUUUUUCCAAGCAACACUUGUUCAAACUCUUCAUUAACAACUCCAUGAACAAGGAGUGACAAAUACGUAGACAUGGAGACUGGAAACAUCAGCACAAAAUAACCGUUUGUGUUUAAAAAAGAUUAAUGCAAGCUUGUACUAGUAGAGGAAAUAAUCUGAAACAUAAGGAUUGAGUACAGGGGAAAACCUGGAAACAGUAAUCCUGAAUGAUUCAGAAGUGAAAAUAAAUACUGAAUGAUUCAGAAGUGAAAAUAAAUAUUGAAUGCGGCUGGACAGCAUAUAGGAAUAACUUAGCCUGUUUAAGGUCAGAAUCAAUCACUGAACAGACUUCAAGCAUUCAGAAUUAUUCAAAAUCACUGAACAGACGUUGAACAUUCAGAAUUACUUAACUAUUUUUUACGUGACCAUACUCCACUUUAUGGACUGCACACAAGUUUUUUUUGCAGUUAAUAAGGGCUUCAAGUACUUGCUAUUCAGAGCGUGUGAUCCAUCAUUUCAAGUGCUUGAUACUGAUUCACACACUGUCUGGAUAACUCCCAGUGCAACACAGAAGUCUUUAGAGUUGGCUGCACACGUGUUCCAAUGUAAAUAAGCAGACUAGUUGAGAUCCUUCUUCAAAUAAUAAU
ensembl:lncRNA